CUUGGCUAUAAAUAGACUUAACGGUGUAAAUAGAUAACGUGUACAGUAAAACCAGCAGCAAUUAAGCGCUGGAAUCGUGCUGAACAAAGAGUGCUCGGUUGUAACCCUUUUCUAUAUAAAUGAAGGAAAACAAUGGAAAGAGGUAUUCAGACCAAUAUUGACAGGUUGGGGGAUGUUCUUGCUAUACUUGAUAGUCUAUAAAGCUUGGGACUGCUUUGACCAGAAGAUUUAUGAUCUAAUAGUAUUUCCAAGCACCUUUGCCUCGCUGCCUUCUUACCAAAGUUCUCUGUCUUCUGAAAGCAGCUUGUGUUUCUCUGACUGUGUAUCGCAUCAUUAUAUGAUUUGCAACAAAUAUGCUGACUUAUCCCUUU